AACGCGAAGAACCUUACCUGGGCUCGAACGGCUGGUGACAGGGGUGGAAACAUCCUUUUCCCGCAAGGGACACCAGUCGAGGUGCUGCAUGGCUGUCGUCAGCUCGUGCCGUGAGGUGUUGGGUUAAGUCCCGCAACGAGCGCAACCCUUGUCGUUAGUUGUCAUCAGGUCAAGCUGGACCCUUUAACGAGACUGCCGGGGACGACCCGGAGGAAGGUGAGGACGACGUCAAGUCAUCAUGCCCCUUAUGCCCUGGGCUACACACGUGCUACAAUGGUCGGUACAAACCGUCGCAAACCCGCGAGGGGGAGCUAAUCGGAAAAAGCCGGCCUCAGUUCGGAUUGGAGUCUGCAACUCGACUCCAUGAAGUUGGAAUCGCUAGUAAUCGCGGAUCAGCACGCCGCGGUGAAUACGUUCCCGGGCCUUGUACACACCGACGCGUA
rnacentral:rRNA from 1 species